rnacentral:rRNA from 1 species
AUACGGAGGAUCCGAGCGUUAUCCGGAUUUAUUGGGUUUAAAGGGAGCGUAGGUGGAUUGUUAAGUCAGUUGUGAAAGUUUGCGGCUCAACCGUAAAAUUGCAGUUGAUACUGGUCGUCUUGAGUGCAGUAGAGGUAGGCGGAAUUCGUGGUGUAGCGGUGAAAUGCUUAGAUAUCACGAAGAACUCCGAUUGCGAAGGCAGCUUACUGGACUGUAACUGACGCUGAUGCUCGAAAGUGUGGGUAUCAAACAGGAUUAGAUACCCUGGUAGUCCACACAGUAAACGAUGAAUACUCGCUGUUUGCGAUAUACAGUAAGCGGCCAAGCGAAAGCAUUAAGUAUUCCACCUGGGGAGUACGCCGGCAACGGUGAAACUCAAAGGAAUUGACGGGG